AUGCUGAACCCAUAAACUGAGAAUUCUUGAGGUCUAAUUGUGUCUAUCCAAUAAUUUUGGAUGUGGUGCAAUAUUUCCUCCAUGUGUUACGCAUUAUUCUAAGGGAGGACUCUGGAUUUUUUUCCUAUGCUGCAUUAGGUUAUCUAAUCUUAUUACUUUCUGGAAGUUUCUUCCAAUAGCGCCCAGGUUUGUGUUGACUCAGUGAAUGCCCAGCUCAUGAGUUGUGUAUUAUAAGCACCGAUCUCCACAUCAUUAUUUGAGAAAUGAUUGUGCUCGUGGAGGAACCUAAUGGUUGCAUUUUCUGGCACUAAUACCAUAGAAGCAGUGCCCCUACAGUCAGACUUGUAGCAAAUACAUCUUAAUUGUCUGAAUAAUAAGAAAUCAAAGUCAGACAUAUUAGUAAAACUUCUGUUUUGUAUGUAAGUAUAAACAUUUUCAGACAGGUAAAUUGGUCUACCCCGUUCUCUGGGUACUCUACAAGAAGCACUUCCAGUUAUCAAUACAUCCCGUGUUGAAUAUAUAGACCGAGAUCUAUUUUCAACAGCUUGAUUUUGAUUUCCUAAGUAAAUUGUGUGUAUAUUAUUUUAAAUAUAAAUUU